rnacentral:rRNA from 1 species
AGAGUUUGAUCCUGGCUCAGGACGAACGCUGGCGGCGUGCUUAACACAUGCAAGUCGAACGAUGAAGCCUAGCUUGCUAGGUGGAUUAGUGGCGAACGGGUGAGUAAUACGUGAGUGACCUACCUUUGACUCUGGGAUAAGCCUGGGAAACUGGGUCUAAUACCGGAUACGACCAAUCUCCGCAUGGGGUGUUGGUGGAAAGCGUUAUGGAGUGGUUUUAGAUGGGCUCACGGCCUAUCAGCUUGUUGGUGAGGUAAUGGCUUACCAAGGCGACGACGGGUAGCCGGCCUGAGAGGGUGACCGGCCACACUGGGACUGAGACACGGCCCAGACUCCUACGGGAGGCAGCAGUGGGGAAUAUUGCACAAUGGGCGCAAGCCUGAUGCAGCGACGCCGCGUGAGGGAUGACGGCCUUCGGGUUGUAAACCUCUGUUAGCAUCGAAGAAGCGAAAGUGACGGUAGGUGCAGAGAAAGCGCCGGCUAACUACGUGCCAGCAGCCGCGGUAAUACGUAGGGCGCGAGCGUUGUCCGGAAUUAUUGGGCGUAAAGAGCUCGUAGGCGGCUGGUCGCGUCUGUCGUGAAAUCCUCUGGCUUAACUGGGGGCUUGCGGUGGGUACGGGCCGGCUUGAGUGCGGUAGGGGAGACUGGAACUCCUGGUGUAGCGGUGGAAUGCGCAGAUAUCAGGAAGAACACCGGUGGCGAAGGCGGGUCUCUGGGCCGUUACUGACGCUGAGGAGCGAAAGCGUGGGGAGCGAACAGGAUUAGAUACCCUGGUAGUCCACGCCGUAAACGAUGAGUGCUAGGUGUUGGAUCCUUUCCGGGAUUCAGUGCCGCAGCUAACGCAUUAAGCACUCCGCCUGGGGAGUACGACCGCAAGGUUG